AAAGGAAUAGACGGGGACCCGCACAAGCAGCGGAGCAUGUGGUUUAAUUCGAAGCAACGCGAAGAACCUUACCAGAGCUUGACAUCCCUCUGACCGGUCGGUAAAACGGCCUUCUCUUCGGAGCAGAGGUGACAGGUGGUGCAUGGUUGUCGUCAGCUCGUGUCGUGAGAUGUUGGGUUAAGUCCCGCAACGAGCGCAACCCUUGUCACUAGUUGCCAUCAUUCAGUUGGGCACUCUAGCGAGACUGCCGGGGAUAACUCGGAGGAAGGUGGGGAUGACGUCAAAUCAUCAUGCCCCUUAUGUUCUGGGCUACACACGUGCUACAAUGGCCGGUACAACGAGCUGCGAACCCGCGAGGGGGAGCCAAUCUCACAAAACCGGUCCCAGUUCGGAUUGCAGGCUGCAACUCGCCUGCAUGAAGUCGGAGUUGCUAGUAAUCGCGAAUCAGCAUGUCGCGGUGAAUGCGUUCCCGGGUCUUGUACACACCGCCCGU
rnacentral:rRNA from 1 species